rnacentral:rRNA from 1 species
AUUGAACGCUGGCGGCAGGCCUAACACAUGCAAGUCGAGCGAGCGGCGGACGGGUGAGUAAUGUAUGGGGACUGCCCGAUCGAGGGGGAUAACUAGUGGAAACGGUGGCUAAUACCGCAUACUAUCGGAUAACCCAUAUGGGAUUAGCUAGUAGGUGGGGUAAAGGCUCACGUAGGCGACGAUCUCUAGCUGUUCUGAGAGGAUGAUCAGCCAAACUGGGACUGAGACACGGCCCCGACUCCUACGGAGGCAGCAGUGGGGAAUAGUGCACAAUGGGCGCAAGCCUGAGGCAGCCAUGCCGCGUGUAUGAAGAAGGCCUGAGGGUUGUAAAGUACUUUCAGCGGGGAGGCGUUACCCGCAGAAGAAGCACCGGCUAACUCCGUGCCAGCAGCCGCGGUAAUAC